AGCAGUCGCCACGGUAAUACGUAGGGUGCGAGCGUUAAUCGGAAUUACUGGGCGUAAAGCGUGCGCAGGCGGUUAUAUAAGACAGAUGUGAAAUCCCCGGGCUCAACCUGGGACCUGCAUUUGUGACUGUAUAGCUAGAGUACGGUAGAGGGGGAUGGAAUUCCGCGUGUAGCAGUGAAAUGCGUAGAUAUGCGGAGGAACACCGAUGGCGAAGGCAAUCCCCUGGACCUGUACUGACGCUCAUGCACGAAAGCGUGGGGAGCAAACAGGAUUAGAUACCCGUGUAGUCCCUGUCUCUUAUAC
rnacentral:rRNA from 1 species